rnacentral:rRNA from 1 species
CCAAUAGCGUAUAUUAAAGUUGUUGCAGUUAAAAAGCUCGUAGUUGAAUUUCGGGAUUGACACAUCGGUCGUGCCUUAAGGGGUAUGAACUGGUGUAGUCAAUUUCUCACCUUCUGGAGAACCACGAUGCCCUUAAUUGGGUGUCGCGGGGAACCAGGACCUUUACUUUGAAAAAAUUAGAGUGUUUAAAGCAGGCAUUUUGCUUGAAUACAUUAGCAUGGAAUAAUAAAAUAGGACGGCAUGAUUCUAUUUUGUUGGUUUCUAGGAUCACCGUAAUGAUUAAUAGGGAUAGUUGGGGGCAUUAGUAUUCAAUUGUCAGAGGUGAAAUUCUUGGAUUUAUUGAAGACUAACUACUGCGAAAGCAUUUGCCAAGGAUGUUUUCAUUAAUCAAGAACGAAAGUUAGGGGAUCGAAGACGAUCAGAUACCGUCGUAGUCUUAGCCAUAAACUAUGCCGACUAGGAAUCAGACGAUGUUAAUUUUUUAAUGACUCGUUUGGCACCUUACG